AGCCCCUUGUCAACGUUGGGCAAAUUGGAAAAGAAAAUGGCAGCGCGUGUUUUGAUUUUUGCUCGUGCUUUGUAUUUUUUUGCAAGUUCGCGAGUUUUCUAAUUAUUUUUCGACUCAAAAUAGUAAAAACUUAAUGGUGCAAGUGAUGGCCGUAAGAUGACCCUUCAACUGGACAUAACUCAGCGGAUUGGAAAUAGCCUGCAUUCCGUGGCCACCGGUAUCUUGGACGAUGGACGGUUUACCACCGGAAAACAACGUAAGAAGGAGCCCAAGCCGGCACGAGAUGCUGAAGAUGCCAAACCAGAAUCAAGGGCGAGUUUGUGAUCGCGAGAGAGUUGGAGGAUAAUAUACCGAGUGCAGUGUAUCUUAGUUAGUCUUGUUUUUAUGAGUAAAUAAAGGUUUUGAUAAAAGUUUUU